rnacentral:rRNA from 1 species
UACGUAGGUGGCAAGCGUUGUCCGGAAUUACUGGGUGUAAAGGGAGCUCAGGCGGGAUGGCAAGUUGGACGGGAAAUACCGCAGCUUAACUGCGGAGCUGCAUCCAAAACUGUCGUUCUUGAGUGGAGUAGAGGUAGGCGGAAUUCCGAGUGUAGCGGUGAAAUGCGUAGAUAUCCGGAGGAACACCAGUGGCGAAGGCGGCCUACUGGGCUCUUACUGACGCUGAGGCUCGAAAGUGUGGGGAGCAAAC